rnacentral:rRNA from 1 species
AACGAACGCUGGCGGCAGGCUUAACACGUGCAAGUCGAACGCCCCGCAAGGGGAGUGGCAGACGGGUGAGUAACGCGUGGGAAUCUACCCAGUUCUACGGAACAACUGAGGGAAACUUCAGCUAAUACCGUAUACGCCCUACGGGGGAAAGACUUAUCGGAAUUGGAUGAGCCCGCGUUGGAUUAGCUAGUUGGUGAGGUAACGGCUCACCAAGGCGACGAUCCAUAGCUGGUCUGAGAGGAUGAUCAGCCACACUGGGACUGAGACACGGCCCAGACUCCUACGGGAGGCAGCAGUGGGGAAUAUUGGACAAUGGGCGCAAGCCUGAUCCAGCCAUGCCGCGUGAGUGAUGAAGGCCUUAGGGUUGUAAAGCUCUUUCAGUGGGGACGAUAAUGACGGUACCCACAGAAGAAGCCCCGGCUAACUUCGUGCCAGCCGCCGCAGUAACAC